rnacentral:rRNA from 1 species
AUUGAACGCUGGCGGCAUGCCUUACACAUGCAAGUCGAACGGCAGCACGGGAGCAAUCCUGGUGGCGAGUGGCGAACGGGUGAGUAAAGUAUCGGAACGUGCCCAGUCGUGGGGGAUAACGUAGCGAAAGUUACGCUAAUACCGCAUACGAUAUAUGGAUGAAAGCGGGGGAUCGAAAGACCUCGCGCGAUUGGAGCGGCCGAUAUCAGAGUAGGUCGUUGGCGGGGUAAAGGCGCACCAAGCCGACGAUCCGUAGCUGGUCUGAGAGGACGACCAGCCACACUGGGACUGAGACACGGCACAGACUGCUACGGGAGGGAGCAGUGGGGAAUUGUGGACAAUGGGCGAAAGCCUGAUCCAGCCAUGCCGCGUGCAGGAUGAAGGCCUUCGGGUUGUAAACUGCUUUUGUACGGAACGAAAAGGUUUGGCCUAAUAAGCUGAGCUCAUGACGGUACCGUAAGAAUAUGCACCGGCUAACUACGUGCCAGCAGCCGCGGUAA